UACGGGAGGCAGCAGUGGGGAAUAUUGGGCAAUGGGCGAAACCCUGACCGAGCAACGCCGCGUGAGUGAUGACGGCCCUAUGGGUUGUAAAACUCUGUUGUAAGGGACGAAUGAUUAGCUUAGGAAAUGAAGCUAGUUUGACGGUACCUUACCAGAAAGCCACGGCUAACUACGUGCCAGCAGCCGCGGUAAU
rnacentral:rRNA from 1 species